rnacentral:rRNA from 1 species
AUUGAACGCUGGCGGCAGGCUUAACACAUGCUAGUCGAGCGGGGAAGGGUAGCUUGCUACCUAACCUAGCGGCGGACGGGCGAGUAAUGCUUAGGAAUCUGCCAUUUAGUGGGGGACAACAUUCCGAAAGGAAUGCUAAUACCGCAUACGUCCUACGGGAGAAAGCAGGGGAUCUUCGGACCUUGCGCUAAAUGAUGAGCCUAAGUCGGAUUAGCUAGUUGGUGGGGUAAAGGCCUACCAAGGCGACGAUCUGUAGCGGGUCUGAGAGGAUGAUCCGCCACACUGGGACUGAGACACGGCCCAGACUCCUACGGGAGGCAGCAGUGGGGAAUAUUGGACAAUGGGGGGAACCCUGAUCCAGCCAUGCCGCGUGUGUGAAGAAGGCCUUAUGGUUGUAAAGCACUUUAAGCGAGGAGGAGGCUCUUUUGGUUAAUACCCAAGAUGAGUGGACGUUACUCGCAGAAUAAGCACCGGCUAACUCUGUGCCAGCAGCCGCCGUAA